rnacentral:rRNA from 1 species
CACGGGUGAGGAACACGUAUCCAACCUGCCGUCUACUCUUGGCCAGCCUUCUGAAAGGAAGAUUAAUCCAGGAUGGCAUCAUGAGUUCACAUGUCCGCAUGAUUAAAGGUAUUUUCCGGUAGACGAUGGGGAUGCGUUCCAUUAGAUAGUAGGCGGGGUAACGGCUCACCUAGUCAACGAUGGAUAGGGGUUCUGAGAGGAAGGUCCCCCACAUUGGAACUGAGACACGGUCCAA